UUUUAAAUGUUUUUAAAGGGAGUUCUACAGUAUUGCAGGUGAAUGAUGUAAACCCUUUGAAAUAAAAGAUUAUGAAUUAUUAUUCUGGUAAUGAUGGUUCUGCAGCCUCAGAAUAGGAUUAGUAGGCCUAGGACCUUUUCACCCACAGGAUUGCACCUAAAAGAAAUAGAUUAUAGAUUCAAUACCAUUUCACCGGUAAUAUUAUACUUAUGAUUAAA